GGCCCAGUAGCGGAUGGUCCGCGCCCGCUUAUAAUACUGGAAUGCUCUAUAAAAGGCAGGAAUCGCUCGUUCGACUCGAGCCUGGGCCU